rnacentral:rRNA from 1 species
GACGAACGCUGGCGGCGUGCUUAACACAUGCAAGUCGAACGGAAAGGCCCUGCUUUUGUGGGGUGCUCGAGUGGCGAACGGGUGAGUAACACGUGAGUAACCUGCCCUUGACUUUGGGAUAACUUCAGGAAACUGGGGCUAAUACUGGAUAGGAGUUCCUGCUGCAUGGUGGGGGUUGGAAAGUUUCGGCGGUUGGGGAUGGACUCGCGGCUUAUCAGCUUGUUGGUGGGGUAGUGGCUUACCAAGGCUUUGACGGGUAGCCGGCCUGAGAGGGUGACCGGCCACAUUGGGACUGAGAUACGGCCCAGACUCCUACGGGAGGCAGCAGUGGGGAAUAUUGCACAAUGGGCGGAAGCCUGAUGCAGCAACGCCGCGUGCGGGAUGACGGCCUUCGGGUUGUAAACCGCUUUCGCCUGUGACGAAGCGUGAGUGACGGUAAUGGGUAAAGAAGCACCGGCUAACUACGUG